rnacentral:rRNA from 1 species
UACGGAGGAUGCAAGCGUUAUCCGGAAUGAUUGGGCGUAAAGCGUCCGCAGGUGGCUGUGUAAGUCUGCUGUUAAAGAGUCUAGCUCAACUAGAUACAAGCAGUAGAAACUACACGGCUAGAGUACGUUCGGGGCAGAGGGAAUUCCUGGUGUAGCGGUGAAAUGCGUAGAGAUCAGGAAGAACACCGGUGGCGAAGGCGCUCUGCUAGGCCGUAACUGACACUGAGGGACGAAAGCUAGGGGAGCGAAUGGG